AGAGCGAACGCUGGCGGCAGGCUUAACACAUGCAAGUCGAACGAACCCUUCGGGGUUAGUGGCGGACGGGUGAGUAACACGUGGGAACGUGCCCUUAGGUUCGGAACAACACAGGGAAACUUGUGCUAAUACCGGGAUAAGCCCUUACGGGGAAAGAUUUAUCGCCUUUGGAGCGGCCCGCGUCUGAUUAGCUUGUUGGUGAGGUAAGGCUCACCAAGGCUACGAUCAGUAGCUGGU
rnacentral:rRNA from 1 species